GGAUUGUGGCUCAGUGGCAGAGCGCUUGCCUCGCAUGUUUGAGGCACUGGGUUCCAUCCUCAACACCA
rnacentral:tRNA from 1 species